rnacentral:misc_RNA from 1 species
GAUGAAAACGCAGCGAAAUGCGAUAAGUAAUGUGAAUUGCAGAAUUCAGUGAAUCAUCGAAUCUUUGAACGCACAUUGCGCCCGCCAGUAUUCUGGCGAGCAUGCCUGUUCGAGCGUCAUUUCAACCAUCAAGCCCCAGGCUUGUGUUGGAGCCCUGCGGCUGCCGCAGCCUCCCAAAACCAGUGGCGGGCUCGCUAUCACACCGAGUGCAGUAGUUUACUCUUCGCUCAGGGCGUGUGGCGGGUGCUAGCCGUGAAACCCCCAACUUCUCAAGGUUGACCUCGGAUCAGGUAGGAAUACCCGCUGAACUUAAGCAUAUCAAUAAGCGGAGGA